CCCGCCGCCCACAACCAAGAGAACAACUUUUAGCCGGCAGCCUCGGCCAGCACUGCACCUGUCUCCGGAGCCUCCAUCGCUCCUCCUGAUGAUCAAAGAGGAAUUCUAGAAGACUGUGCUCUACAAAUAUACAUGCGCAUCGUUUUCCCCCUUGCGUCUCGUCCGGAGGAAGGAAAGAGAAAGGGAUUAAAGCAGCAGCGUGUGUUCAGCCCCAAGCACCUCCAAGCCUUCCUGGAGUGGAACUUCUGCUCAGUUCUUGGAUGGAGGGAUGCAGUAUGACUUUCCUUCACUUGUUUUGAGGAACUCUUUAACUGGUAAAGAGAGUUUGGGACAUUUUAUCAUCUGGAGUUUCUCUGUGACUUGCUGAUGAUCUGAGCUCAAAGCUGCCAGUUUAUGGGAAAAGAUAAGAAAACCUCCUGUAACAUCUGAGUUGCAAAAAUAUCUACCUCUAAGAAUUCAGGAGGACCUACUUUGUGGGAGCAAAAAUAGUGAGUCAUACCUGCAAGCUUGGAAAUGAGAGUUCACUUGUGCUUCUUCAUCCAGUUGGGAAGUUUCCUAGGCAACCAUUUAUGCAGCAAUUAAAAGAUGAGGAG